rnacentral:lncRNA from 10 species
GAUGGGCUCAAACCACUGACUUUUCAGUCAACAUCCGACAGCACUAACCCAGUGUUCCAGAGACACUGCUUGUUAAACAGUGAAAGCUGUUGCUCAAUUGUGUCAUCCGUAAUUGUCAAAUAUUGCCAUUUAGUAGCACAAGGAAGUAUUCUCUGUUGCCAAGCUAGAGUACCCAUAACUCUUCUGUUUUGUUGAACAUUCUUCCCCACCACAAACCCUCUUUAGAAGACUGGGGGCUCCUAAAGCAUUGAGGCCGAGAGUCCCGUCCUUGUGCAUGUUUGGGCAUUGACCCAGGGCCAAGUCAGUGGGAGACUCCUCCACGCCUACGCCAGGUCCCCAGGUGACAACUGCAGUCUCUGGAUCUGAAGUCAUCCACUUUCCCAUUCCUAGCUCACCUCACCCAUCGUGAAGCCUGGAUUUCCUUUUUAUCACUGGUUUUGAUGGAUUUGAUUAAGGCGUUCCUUGGUGAAGUUUUCUUCAUGUUUCUUGUUCUUAGAAUAAUCAUAUUUCUGUAAUAUUUGAAGUUUAUGGUUUCCAUGGAGCUUCUAAAUCUUUCAUCCAGUAUGUUUUAAAUAUCUUUGUCUCUCUUCUCCACUACACGCCCUUCAGGGAUUCCAUUUAGCCCUAUACUGGGGGGUUUAAAGUUUUGAUGCCGAUGGUGUUUUUAUGUUUUCAAGUCAUUUGUUACUGUGUGUUUCAUUUAUGUUAGUUUCAACUUCUAUUCCUUCUAGUUCAAUAAUCUUCUCUUCUGCAAUGUUUAAUCCACUGCCUUCUUCCAUUUCAGACUGUAAAUCAUACUUUUUAUCUACAGAAUUUGAUAUUUAAAAAAUCUUCAACCUCCCCAUUUAAUUAAAAUACAAUUAUACUAA